rnacentral:misc_RNA from 1 species
UCCAGCAGCCGCGGCAAUACGUUCCCGGGCCUUGUACACACCGCCCGUCACACCAUGGAAGCCAGCUGUACCGGAAGUCGGUGCGUUAACCCGCAAGGGGGACAGCCGCCUAUGGUAUGACUGGUGACUGGGGUGAAGUCGUAACAAGGUAGCCGUAGGGGAACCUGCGGCUGGAUCACCUCCUUUCUAAGGAGCUCGCGCUCGCAAGAGCCGAGAUACCUAGGUCAGUCCUCAUGAGCUUCAUGAGGUUAACGUGCCUGGAUACCUAGGCACACA